GAUUCACAGCCCUCAGUCUUCAAAACACAAGGUUCUACAUCUUUAUUAGUUUGAAACUGAAUACUGGGCUUUAUUACGUCAAUAUCUGAAUAUUGUCAUCCUGAUCAUGAAAUCAAAAAAUGACCAUCUGACUAUGUACUGCACUACCUAAUGAAGGAACAGUCUAUUUGUCCUCUACAUCCCUUUGAUUCUGCCUGUAAAUGUUGCUUUCUCCCUGCUGUUAGUACACAUGUGAACCGGACCUGUGGUGAUAGCAGUGGUGACUCUAGAGCUAUUAUCAUUUAAUGUCUGUACGUAUGUAUAAAAGAAUGAACAAAUAUCUGUGCAAACUUUGUAUUUUAUGUCAUUUUGUAUUAUAUUUGUUUUACAUAAAAAAAACUAUUAUAAUGGUUUAUUUAUUUCUUAACAACAAACCACCAUACACAAAAGUGCAGGGUUUUUUUUCAUAGCAUUCAGUAAGUUAUGACAUGGUUAUGUUUCGACCCUACCAGUGUUUUUAUAUUUCACAUUGUUGAAGAUGAUGUUUUGAAGAGCAAUACUGUUUUGCGUCCCGUUCCCCUUCUUUUGAUUGAUAGGUAUAUGUGUGUGUGUGUGUGUGUGUGUAUGGCUGUGUCUACUAAUGUAAAAUGAUUUGUAGUGGAAACAUUUAUAUUUUUAUAAUAAACAUUCUUAAAAUAUUUUCUAAAGAAUGAAUGCUUAGAAGAAA